UCUAUCAAUCAUUAAAGAAGUUACUGAAGCAUGAGGAUGUUUUAGGAUUCUACAAGUAAGUUUAGGAUUCUACAAGUGGUGAGGAAUAUAUAAUCACUUCGAGAUUUCAUUUUGGAUUUAUUGAUUCUAUGUAUAUUUGGUUUUAUGACUGUAAAAUAUCUGGCUUUGGAUUUAUUGAUUCUAUGUAUGUAUCAUAUCGAUAUGGUAAUCCAAACAUUUAUACUAGUAACAAUCAAAGUGGUUAUUCUUUUUCUAUUGAUGCAAGAGAUGAAGAGACGGCUGUUUUCACCCUCCAUUACCAAGCGAACCAACCAAAAAAUUGGGUUUUGGAAGGGGCAACAUUAAACCAUUAUAGCUUAGGCACAAGCAAAUUGGAUCCAUGUUGGUCUUCAGCCCACCUUCUGAUAGCAGCCACAGAACUUUGAGUUGAGAACAUGGAAGCAAGAUCAAAGAGUUGAAGAAGAAAUAUGUUACAAGAAAUGUGAUCAAUACAAGAAGAAAUGCUCCUAAUUUUAAGCAAAACAGAGCUAGCAGCAGCAAGGCAGAAUCAACAGCAACAAGGCAAAGACACACUCCCACACAGCACCUGCGCAGCUAUUCAUAGCAGCUAAACUAAAGCAAACACAACACAAACCAGAAUUUAUAGACAUUAACAGCAGGCGGACACGACACCUGGAUAGAUUUACACAGCAGAUCACAUGACACUCCAGUAGAAUGUGUAGACAGACCACCAGAGUUUAGCCUAACCAGUUCCAUAUUUGAGCAUGUCGUUAGAACUAAUGGAGAAAUACCUUCUGUUGAUGAAGCAACUUUAGACCAUCAAAGAUUAUUGGACAGCUGUGGGAUUUUUAUUUCAUAUAUAUAGUUUUUGAUGCUGGAGAUGUCUGUUCUUCUUCAGAUUGCAAUUAUUUGAGUUGGUGGAGUUUAUGGUUCAUGGAGAUGGAAAUUGUCAGGGUUUUUAAUAACAAUGAACUCAGUGGCAAGAUUCCUUCAACGCUAGGACUACUGCAGACUUUGGAAAUAUUUUUGAAGUUUCUUUUCCCAUUGUGCUAGCAAGUUCAGUCAUGUUUACUCUUAAGGGAAAGGAUAAUGGUCUAAGUAAUACCGUGGAUCCCCUAUUUAUUUUCAUAAUGGGAUGUUGGAGAGAUUUAUAUAUAUUAUGAAAUUACAGUACUAUGUUUAGUAAGAGUUGGGAUGGAGGAAAGUUAAUCCGACGAGUACUCGUGCGAAAUUAAUUAUGCCAAGGCCCUGAGAAAUUUAACCCAUGGUUUUGAGGGAGUAUUAAUCUGUCCGCACAACUAAUCCCCUUAUUGGUGAAUCAAAUGUGAGACAUUACAAAAUUAGGAGACAAAUCCUAAACAUAUGGGGUCUUAUGUUUUUUAGUUUAAUACCCUAAUCCUGACACAAUCAUGUCGAAAAGGGUAGAAUAUGUAUAUGUUUAUCUUUCAUCUUCAAUGUUGAUAUGUACAAGAUGUUUUGAAGCUUUAAGUUUUCAGGAAAAGAAGAGGUUGUGAAAGCAAAUAAAGCACAAACACUUGUGUAAAAAGAGAUUGGUAGCAUGCUUGUUUAAAU